rnacentral:lncRNA from 1 species
CAAAACUAGAGUAGGCAACAUGCAGUAAGGCUUGGUUGUUCAGACAAAUGCAAACUAAACAUGUUCAAGUUGCGGAUGCUUCAUGGUUGGUAAAAAACACUCACAUCAAACUUUCCUGGCAUUUGCUACAUUCAAAAUAAAAUAAGUCGAAUAGAAUUAAAUAAAUAAUGUCACACAGAUAUUUACCGAGUCAAGAUUAAGUACAAGGGCAAUUUCAGAACCACCAUGACCUGUAAAGUCUGGAAAAUAAGAUGCAGCUACAAUAAAUAGAUAAAUGACAACCAGAACAGCAAAACCUGCAAAAUCCAACAUCAUGCAUUCUUUAUCUCCUGAAAUCUUUCGACCAACAUGAUCUGACGAUCAAUGACAUUCAUAAGAAAAAUGUGAGCACGCAACUAGUUUGAUAAAAGGAAGCUCUGCAGUAAUAUCACGUACUACUCGGCACAUGAUAGCUCCUCCCUCUUUCAAUCCUUAUUUCUACAAGAGAGAGCAUUUCCAGGCAUCUGAAUGUUGCGACCUUUCCUCCCCUGAGGGUUGCAUUUUUCCUCCACAAAAUCUAUUCAUAAUAACAUUCUAUAUACCCACUUGUUUAUUUGUCCACAGGAUGUGUUUUCUCAUUAGAAUAGAAUGGCCCGCAUAAUAUUUUGAACUACUCUCAUUUGAAUGAUCUACAAUUUCACCUUCGGAUCAAUCUCAAGUAUGGUAAUGAAGAAUCUAAACAGCUAAUGGUCCCAUGCACAUCUGCUAAAACAUCAUAAAACAUACCCAAGCAUGAAGCACAAAAUCAGCCACAAGCAAUUUGGUGAACACCAUAUAAAAUAAUCCUCUUCUAGUCAAAUACGCAGUCCUUAUGAAAUGGCAUUAUCCAGUCAUCAGGUUUGCCCAAACUAAUUGCAGUAUUUGUAUGAGUAGAUCUAUAGGUACAGACAUGUAGAAACACCCAAACUAAUAUUAAUCAGAACAAGAAUUAAUUAAUCAGAAAUAAUGGAACCAUAUACAUUCAAAUAUGACAAGAACAAUCACAUGAUAACACUGCAUUAGUAGAAACGCAUCAACCCUUCAAAUCAUUUAAAUAGUGUAGCAAUUGAGCACACACAAGUAGCAAAUCAUCAUUGACCUUCUGAAAAUUUAGCACACUUAUAAAACAUCCCAAAGUGCUUUAUAAAAAACCCUGAAGUACCAUCUAUGAGCCAGAAAACUGAAGAGAAAAGACCAUCCCAAUCAUCAUGCAAGAUCGGUUAGUUGUCUCCAAGUCUCAUUGAUCAUGUCAAUUAUAUGUCAAAUAUUCCUUAUUAUGCUAAAAUGAAUUUGAUAUAAAAAUUUUUCAGCAUUGGCAGAAUAAACUCAUAAACCAAACAUCUCGCAUCUCUAGAGUCCAGAAUUUUUGAAUGCCAAGGAGUGCACGCCACCCCCUUCCACUAUUUUUGCAACCCUAAACAAAAUGUUAUGGAAAACCUCCUGAUUUGGGGUGACAAAGUGUUAACUCAAGACACAGAAUCAGUAGGAUCAUUGCACCUACAAGCUUUAAGGAGAGAACUUACAGGUGCUGUUCACAGUGAAAUGCCUGAAUAAGAAAGCAAGAUACCUUCCAAAGCAAUGAAGAACAGAUUGCUGGGAAAAUAAAACAAAAAAAUAUGCCAAGUACUCAUCAAGGCGGAAGUUAACUGAACUUUCGAAGGAACUAUAGAGAUCAGACAUGCCAUAGUGAUUCCGUUGUGGCUAACAGAAAUUAAUGCUAUAAUAAACAAUCUGCUGAGAAAAAUCCAAACAAUAUGAUUUUCAGCUUAUCAACCACACAAAGAUGCAUGAAAUUUAUUAAGAUAAAAUAUAUCUGAUUACACCCAAAACAGGUGACUACAACAGAAAUGACAAAGCUGCAUAUGGUUUUGAUUAUAUUAAUAUUUUUUUGUUAGUUAACAUUUAUCGAUGGGUCAGUUUUUGAUGAAAACCACCAAGUGAUGGAUUGUAAACAGAAAAACAAAUAUUUUCUUAUUUCCCAUCUAUAAAGGCGAAUCUGCACUUUGUCAGAUGCCAAUUUUGGUAUAUUCCAAUUUUGAUUCAUCCUCACCAUAUAUAUCUAGCACCACAUCAACAAUUACAAACUUAAAUUUGAAUUUAUACAACAUAGUCUUCAUAUAAAUAAUUAAGGCACUCACAUUGAAAAUCCAUACAAUUUUUUUUUAUUUGUCAAUUCAAGUCUUUGAGCUGUGAAACUAUGAGUUUAAUUUUUCCCAGCUUUCUGUUAAAGGUCAAGAUUUUCUGAAAAUGUAAAGGAAAAUAAACAAUAAGUUUUGACCUAAGGCUGGGUUAAAACAUGGACUAAAACCAAAAUCUUAUUUCUUCAUUAAGCUUAUUAACAAAAUCAUCUAACAGUUAACUCUCCAAUCAUCUAACAUCAAGAUCUAAGAUCUAAUUAGAUAAUUGAUGUAUUCAAGAAGAGGUUCGCUUGCUUAGUACUCAAGGGAGAAGAUUUUGGAGCAAAAUGUGUCAAAACUUAGGUAUCAAGUUUAAGAGACCUAUAUUUGCAUUAUUUUAAUGUAGUUCACUUUAUUAGUUUUCAGUUGUUUACCUAAUGGAUGGUCCAGGUUAUAAGUUGGAGUCAUCCUCCUUUGGACAAUUUCUACCAUAUUUAAUGUUGAGAGGGCAACAACAUUGAGAAGAACAGGACAGACCUUGCCACCCUUCAAGAUGGCAAUAGGGAAUGUCAGGUCAACCCCCACUAUUAAGAGAGAUCUGCCUGAUCUAAUUAUCUAAAUCCAGUAACAAGUUACUUGUAUCCUUCUAACAGGACUGAAGCCUCCUUGCUACUGAUGCAAAAUCAAUCACGACACAUUUAAAUUGACAAUCCAAAAAAUUAAAUAUAAAUAUUAAAAUUAAAAAUCAAAAAGUUGUUGGCUUCCCUUCUUGUGCACAAAGUCAUCCAGAAGUAGACAAUUUUGAUGGUAUGAAAAAGUAUUUUUAUUGGAUUUUAUGAUUUAAAAGUAUUUAGCUGUCCGUCCCUUAAUAUAUCUAGACCAAGACCCAUGGUGUGGGUUCUCUAUUUAUAUGACCUAUCAAUAUUAUUUAGAACACAAAAUCUGUUAGUAUUUUAAAAAAUUUCUAACAACUUGAUAUAUACGCAAAACCUUAGGACACAUGAGUUUUUAUUUAAGAUGCCCAAGUUACUAUAGAACACAGUCAACAUUGUGGAUCCUUGAAUUUAAUGGUAAUUUCCAUUCACAGAAUUAUGACUAUAUCCUGCUAGAUGGAUGCUAGCUCAUUUCUGCCUCACUUUAUAUCAUAUACUAUACAUAUACAUGUAUAAAGUUAUACAGAUCCACCCAAACCAACUUGUUCUGACCAGGGCCCAAAAAUUUAACCACCCUUGGCAUUACACUAGUUAGUCCUCCACAUGGAUGGGGCAUAUUGUUAUGUAAUUAAUGCCACUAAUGCACCAAGAGAAGUGACUAUUGCAAGUAACUUAGAUGCAUGAUCAAAUUACUUGAAUGCAACAGUGCAUUCACGCAAGUAAAAGCCCAAGUAGUGCAACA